rnacentral:lncRNA from 1 species
AAAGAGGCAGCAGGUUCUUGGUGGACAGCUCUCAUAUCCCCUCCCGGGAACACGAUGAGAAAGGUCUUUGGAAAAAUAGCUUUAUGAAGGCCAGAGGAAAUUUAUGCACCAGCAAGGCAUGUCGGAAAGGUAAGAAAAACGAAAUGUUAAAAGUAACUUUAGUCGUUACUUGAGAGAAAACAAACAUAGAUAGUGUUACUGGAUUACAUUUCAUUUAAAAAUAUAAAGUCACGCAACCUGUGUUACCGAUGAUAGUUGCUUUGAGAGAGAAGAAAACCCUACCACCGCCCUCUCUCCCAACGCUGAUGCAGCCGGCUACAAAUGCAAUUUAUUUGAUCAUUGUAACGGAGAGAGGUGGCCUUACUGUUUUAGGAAUAGUAUGUCUCUAGAUACACUGGGCUCUUUGGGAGAGCAUGUGUGAAUUUCCGUAGAAAGAGGAGAAAAUAAAAAGGAAAUAGCUAUUAGCUGACAUCUAUUAGUUAUUAGUUAAUAUUAGUUAAUAUCUAUAAACUAAUUAAAUUUAAAUGGAGAAAACAGAACUUUUACCAGCUCAAUAGAGCCAAAGAUCAGAUUAAGAGGCCAAAACCCAAUCCUUGUUACCUGACUCUUCUAUUCUAAGAUUCUAAAUUUUUUUCUAAAGAGAGAUUGAAAGCACGUGAGCAGGGGUGAGGGGCAGAGGGACAGAGAGAGAGAAUCCCAAGCAGGCUCCACACUCAGUGCAGAGCCAAUGUGAGGCUUAAUCGCACAAUUCUGGCAUCGUGACCUGAGCCAAAAACAAGAGUCAGACGCUCAACCGACUGAGCCACCCAGGCACCCCUCCUCACUUUUAAAUUUCAUAGCUUUUAAAUUCCAUAAAUGUUUUCCAAACUAUGCCAAUUAUUAGAAAAUAUACAAUUACAGAGUUUUCAAGUUUCUUGAGCUUGUUUGUCUUUCUAUUGGUAGGUAACUCGGCUCGCAUCUUUCAAAAAGCGACAUUUGCACCGUCAGUUUUCAGGAUUAUAAACACUGUGGUUUCAUAUGAGUGUGUGAAAUUUAUUGAUAGCUUCUGUUUACUGCCUGUAGCUGAGAGAGGAAUCUUGCUUAGGUGCAGGGUUUAGAGACUGAAGCAGCUCCCUUACCAAAGCUCUGCUUUUGUUAGCAAGCCGUGUAUAUCUCAAACGGUGCCUCGGUGUUGCUGAUUUUUGUGUUAAAAACUGUCAUAAUUUGGAGAAAUGGGCACAUGAAGUAAUAGUUUUUAAAUGGGUAAGAAGUUCUGUGAGAAAUUAUACACUUUAUGUUUCCCAACUUGCUAACAACCUUUAAUACACAAUACCAGAGGAGAUUUAUUUGUGAGCCUGCCAUGAAAUGGUAUUUAUGACCAAUAUUAUUAUCUUUAAAUGAGUAAAUAUGUACAGAAUUAUUUUAGAGACAGUGUAAAAAGUGAUGAAGUGAUGCCCAGCCUACAAGUUAAACUUUAAUCUUUAAAUUUUGAAGGAAGGAGGAAGCAAGGAGGCAAGGAAGCAAGGAAGGAAGGAAGCAAGGGAGGAAGGAAGGAAGGGAGGGAGAGAGGGAGGAAUGAUGAUGGGAGGGACAGAGGAAAGAAAAAAUGUUUACUUAGUGCUAGUAUUCAUUCAAUCACAUUUCUGCACAUCAUAAAACAAGAGGCUUAUUCAUAGUACCUUCCUCUUAUACAGUCAGUUUCAUUUGGGAUUUUACAGUUUUAUCUCUGUUCACAAGAUCUACUUCAAUCACUUAUUAACCUACAGUGUUUAUAUUCUUCUUCUCUCUCGUAGUGUUGUAGGUGGUUGAAUUUUCUGCUACAACGCCAUAUAGAGUAGUAAAACAUUCUUCAAGCAUUGAAAACCUUCCAAGUGGAAGUUACAUGUGGUUACAAUAAAGUUCUAACAAUUUCUAAACAUCCUCUCAUAGAGGAAACAUCGUGGUAUUGCAAUCUCUCUUCAUUGCUUCUGGCGUUGAAAUAUAUCUAUGCUUCUAUAAAUGUCAGGGAACCCACUACUGUUUUUUGAAGUUUACAAGAUUUCCCUCUGGAGAAGUUGGAUAGAUGUUUGUCCUUUUACUUCUGUUGUACCUUAAUUUGGGGGCCUAUUUGUGCUUAUAAGAAUGUUCACAGGGCUGAAGAACAGGAUGAAAAUGCAUCCUGUAAAGAAAUUCAAACUUAGGGGCGCCUGGGUGGCUCAGUAGGUUAAGUGUCCAACUCUUGAUUCUGGCUCAGAUCAUGAUCUCAUGGUUGUGAGCUCCUGCUUCGGGCUCUGCAAUGAGUGUGGGGCCUGCUUAAUAUUCUCUCCCUCCCUGUCCCUUUACCCCUCCCCCGCUUGAGCUCGUGUGUGCACUGUCAAAAAAAAAAAAAAAGAAUAAAAAAUGCAAAAUGUAAAGAAUACAAGUUCACAUAAACUUUAAAUCUGUCUCAUUCAGACAGAACAAGAAAAAUGACAACUCUAGUUGUGCUUUUCUCAAGAUAUAUUGUUACGUGGUUUUAGAAUCAACAAUCUAAGUAAUUUAAGAUAUAUCUGUUAAAAUCUCAGGUUGUGAGUACUGACAUACUUUGGGGAUAUCUGUAAAACACAUAGUUUUUUGGAACAAUACUCAAAGGGAAAAAAAUAUGGCACCGAAAAUAUGCUACUUUGGCAUAAUGAUUACUUUGAAUGAAGUUAGUUAGGAAACAGCCAGUACAAGAAAGUCACUCUGAUCCUCCUCUGUCUCCCUGAAAGCAGGAAAUAAAUCUCCCAUGUGAGGGACCCUCCCUGCACCAAGAGGGUAGAAGGCAUUGUUAUCACCAGAGAGAGGGUAUUUAGGGCUGAGAGGACUGUGUAAACAAAUAUUUACUACCUCAAGCCCAAACUUCUUUGACUUGUCAAUUCUUCAAAAAUUUAUUAUUUCUGCAGCACCUGGCUGGCUCAGUCAGUACAGCACACAACUUUUAAUCUCAGGGUUAUGAGUUCAAGUCCCAUGCUGGGUGUGGGGCCUACAAAAAAAAAAUAGUUCUUAGUCUGGAAGAAAUCUGGUCACGUUUUUGAGUCUCAUAUCUUCAUGGGCUCCCGUAUGUAUGAAAUUGAAUCUUUCUCUCCUGUUAAUCUAUCUUAUGUCAAAUUUAACGAUUAGACCAGCCAAAGAACCUAGAGUGGAAGAAGGAAAAAGUUUUCCACCCCUACAUUUUAUUGGUAUAUUAUUAUUUACUCAGUUAAUGGGUUUAGUUUUAGGAACUUCAUUUAAAGCCAUCAGAAAUUUAAAAACCUGUAUACCUAAUUUGCCAUUUUGGAAACAAACACACUAUAGCAUCAGAUUUCUUCCUGAUUUUAUAAGAACUCCAUUUAGAGUAUUUCUGUUAUCUCAUUACCAUCUCUAUUAUACAGAGAUGCACAAUCACUGUCAUGUUACAAAUGAAUAAAAUACAGGCACAGACAGCACAGGGAGUCUGGAUUAAAAAAAAAGAAAAUAAAAAUAAAGAAAGGUCAAGGAAAUAAGAAAGGCUAGAAUAAUAUCUCCUUUCAUCCAAAAUUAAUGCUCCAGAGUCCAUGGAAAUUUUCUUCCAGGCCUUAGUUCAGAAGUGCCUGGUUUUAGCAAGAUCCCACAAGAUUUGAGAACCUAACAAUACUUUUGGGAGAGACGGAGGGAGGUUGAGGAUUUGGGAAAAGUGACCUUGGCUAACUGAGAAAUAAGACUGAGCUUCCUUCCUUCCCUCCUAAACACACAGUUCUCAUGAUGCGGCAGUGAAUAUAAAUGGGAUGUUUAGAAAUUGAGUCAUAUAAACACAAUUUUGACAACCGUAGGUGUCUAAAAGGAGUCCCCUGGCCUUUUGUAUGAUGGGUGCCCAACAAUACCUCUUUCAACCCAGGAGCUCAGCUUCUCCUCAGAAAUUAGGCCAUCCGCCAUUUCCCCCUUCACUCGCCUUACAUAAUCACCAACUUGACAUUUUAAUUAAACAGAUAGCACCCACUGCAGCUGACAAUUUAUGAGGCUUAUAAAUUCGUGACUGAAAAAGGACGUCGCAAUCUUCUGACGAAAGGUGCUCAUGAGUUGAUAAGUUACGUUAUUGUUGCUUUCUAUCCAGCACCCUCAGCUCACCUGAUUCCUUCUUGUUAGCCAUUCUACACUUUUUAAAACUAAGAAUAGAUGGCCAAUUCAGAUAAUGCCACCUAUUUUAAAGACACUAUAAAUCACUGCUGACAAAUGCUGUAUACUUUUAGCCAUGGCACCUUCUCCAUGGCAGCUUUAUAUUGGAGCAUUAACAAAAUUAAUUGCUCUUUCAUAAGGGCUGAGAUUUGUAAUUUAUGAUAACUGUUUGUUCACUGCAGGCAGAAAGAUUAAAAAUGAGUAAACCAAUAUACCAGCUAAACUGCAUGUGUCUGGUUUUAUUUUCUUUUGUGGAGGGGGAAUAGGAGAGGGUUUUAAAAACAGCUUGAUGUUAUCUGGAAUGGUUUCUCAUGGGUUCUACUACUCAAGGCUUAACUUUUGUUUUCAGUAAAUAAUAGCUGCUCAGAUUUACAUGUCCUAUUAACUAGCGCUAUUAUUUAUAUGUAGUUAGGCAGAGCGAUCGGAAUAAGAAAAUCAGUAUUAAUGGUUUUCCUUCAUAACAGUUGCACCCUCAUGAUGAUACAGCUUUACAGUUAUUUAAAGAAUCACAGUGGCUUAUGUAAAGCUAAUCUGAAUCAUCGUGGUAAGAGCACUUGAUCAUUUCUUAAUGUGCUUUGGGCAAAUUACGCCACCUCUCUGUGCCUCAGUGUCCUCGUCUACAAACGAUAAUGUUCAUUGUGUUAUAAUAAUACAAACAAAAUAAUCAUGUUGAUCACUUUAUUUGGUAACUGUGAUGCUUACAUGAGUUAAUCCAUGUAGAGCCCUUGGUACAGUGCCCAGCACAUAGCAAGUGCUUAAUAAAUGUUAACUGUAAAACUAUUAUAUUGUAAUAGUCGUAGUCGUCAUCAUAGCAGUGAUGUUACAAAACAAACAAAAACCACUAUCGGUCAGAGCCUACAUUGUCUUCUGAAUAUUAAACAUAAGGAGCUGACCAUUAGAGAUGCUAAGUGCCUUGGCUAAAGUAUCUGUUCCUCAGAUUCCUAGGACUUACAAGUCUUGCAGCUUUGACUUCAGCGAUGUACACAUUACAGGUGGGGUGCGUGGGUGGCUCAGUCAGUUAAGCCACUGACUUGGGCUCAGGUCAAGAUCGCACAGUUUGUGAGUUCCAGCCCCACGUCCGAAUCUACGCCUGCGGAGCCUAACUGCGAUUCCUGCGCGCGCGCGCGCUCUCUCUCUCUCUCUCCCUCUCUCUCCGCCCCUUCUAUGCUCUCUCUCAACAUAAGUAAGUAAACUGGGGUGCCUGGGUGGCUCAGUCAGUUAAGCGUCCUGGGUGGCUCAGUCGGUUAAGCGCCCGACUUCAACUCAGGUCACGAUCUCGCGGUCCGUGAGUUCUAGCCCUACGUCGGGCUCUGUGCUGACAGCUCAGAGCCUGGAGCCUGCUUCAGAUUCUGUGUCUCCCUCUCUCUCUGCCCCUUCCCUGUUCAUGGUCUGUCUCUGUCUCAAAAAUAAAUAAACAUUAAAAAAAAUUAAAAAAAGCCAUAAGUAAACUUAAAAAAGUUGCAGAUGAAGUGGAAGUUAGAAACAUAACCUAAAAGAUGCCCCGUUUCUUUUCUUUUUUAAACCAAAGAUUCAGAAGUUAUCUUACUGCUGAGACUUCUCCCAAAAAAGCAGACCAAAGAAAAUUUUUACUUGAAAUUGAAGACAGAAGUAACAGAACAAAGAAGAUUUUGAGAGUGCCCCUCUGUUUUCUACCACAAGAUUCCAGCACACCACUCUUCAGACACUGCCCCCUGGUGUGGGUCUGGAGAGCAAUGAGAAUGUGACAGAUAGAAACUAGACUUUGGAGCCUCAGAAAAAAUUUCACAUGAAUAACAAUCAGACUGGUCAUCUAUUGGUUAGAAUCUUCUCAGAUAACCUGAAAGAGACAGAGACAGAGACAGAGAGACAAACAGAGAGAGUUUAGGGAUGUUAGCAGCCUAUUUAUUUGUGUUAUCAAGCUUUAAUUAACUUCUAUUAUUAAUAAAUGUCUAGUAGUAAUCAGGAUAAUGGCAUAAAGAGAACUUCUACUUUAAAUCCCCAAGUCACCUAAUGUAAACUAAGAUGAUGAGAUGAUUUUGAGUUAUUUUUAAACUGAAUCUCACAUUGAAAUGAUUGUACUUAAUCUGUAGCAUUAUACAAGAUAAAUACAGUAAAACCCGGUCAAGUGGAUCUCUCUUGUCAGAUCUUUUAAUUAUGUGACUUUCUUUUUUUCCCCUGUGACUUCUUUGGAGAGAUUGGAUAAGUAAACUAUGACCACUUCUCAUACAUUAGAUUAAAAACAAGAGAGAAGAAGACCUCCAGAUUUUUUAUUCACACUGUGUAACCAUCAAUGGAGUUUAGAGUAACACGACAACAAUCACUGAUGAAAGAUUCAGCCACGUUCAUUAUCCUAGUUUCCUAACUUCAUUGUGGCAGAAAAUAGCUAGAAUAUUUUAUUAAAAACAAAUGUACCAAAAAAGUCAGCUAAACUUUCAUCCUGUUCAUCCCAAUAUGUUAUUCCCUUUUCUCCCAGUGCUUUCCCCAAUUGGUGACCAAAACUCCAGUUAUCAAUCACAGGAUUUACCUGCCUCAGGAAUAAUAAAUUUCACACAAUUUGCUGUUUUUCUUCUAGUGUUUGUUAAUUUGUUUCAAUGGCAAGGCACACUUUGCGAAUUACAAGAAACAAUAUCCAAACUAUUAAUGAAUUGCUCAAGUGGGAAAGAUAUGAGAGACAUACAUUUUCUGACUUUUUCACAUAAUUAAGAUAAAAUUCUUGAUUUGUUAUUUAGUUGCAGAUGGAGGAAUAAUUUUCUCUUUGAUAAUAGGGUAUGGUUUUUCAAAAUGUUUAUUUAUUUUUGGGAGAGAGAGGCAGAGAGACAGAGAGACAGAGGGAGAGAACAUGAGCGGGGGCGGGGGGGGAGAGAGAGAGAGAGGGAGACACAGAACCCGAAGCAGGCUCCAGGCUCUGAACUGUCAGCACAGAGCCAACACAGGGCUCGAAUUCGUCACCUGCGAGAUCAUGACCUGAGCCAAAGUCAGACGUCCAACCGACCCAGCCACCCAGGCGCCCCCAGUUGUUUUAUUUUUAAUGACACAGCAAUGCUAUUUGUGGAAUAUGAUGUAGUGGCUAUGCUCUUCUGGUGUACCAGCUCAGCUAAUACAUGGAAAAUAAAAGACAUAUUAAAUUGUACUUUACGAAGGCAACCUCAUAUACAAGAGAUGUGUAGUUUCUUGUAAGCAAAAUUGCUACCGAGGCAUAAUUGUGCCAUAAAAUAUCGAGGGUUGUCUCUUAAGAUUCUUGGAGCCUGAAAAAUGAUCUAUCAAGAGUAAAAAGAGGUCAGAAAGAAAGAGAGAUAUGUAUAGUUUUACUUAACAUGAAAAAGCAUAUUUAGAUAUUAUUUUAAAAUUGGCUUAAAAUAAUGUACAGCGCCAAUUACAGAAAGAGAAACUUGCAACUAUUCCUGAAGAGAUAGGGAAAAGUGUAAGAAAAACAAUGAAUAAUGAACCAGAGAAUUACUCUAGGAGAGCAGAAAGGGUGUUUUAUAUCUCAGGGGUAUAAAAAUGGGGAUACAGAGAGCACUGGGCUGUUGUUAAGCAAAAUGGUCGAGUAAUAUUUCAAAGUGAGUAAAACUGAUUAAAGAACCUAAAUUUUUUAUUUGCUUGCCACCAAUUUGUAGAAGUAUAAGAGGUUUGGGGAAAUUUCAGGGAAAAUGUAAGCCAGAUUAAUGGGGAAACCAAGAGAAAGUUUAAGGAUGCCUGCUUGUACAAGUCUGCCCCGGUAGCUCUAUUAGGAAUGAUGUCUUACUAUGAGGGCUGACCUCCUCAUUCAGAUCUUGAAAGGAUGUAUGUGCUUUUCUCUGUACCAUUAGAUUUACUUUUCUAAGACAUACAGUCUAGGCAGACCCUCUUAUCUUUGGGGAGAAUUUGCCUCAAGUGACUAUUAGCCAUAAGAAAUGUGUUUAGGACUAUGACAAGACGUCAAAGUCCCUCUGAGAUCUAGAUAAAUUUCUAGGGUAUCAUUUAUCCUCUCAAUGGAAAGGUUGGUGCUUAUAAUUUGUUGCUAUGGCUGCUAUAUACAAAGAAAUUUACAUUUAAAGAUUUUAAAAGAGAUACACAAACACUUUAAGCAUUGUCUUUGGCUCAGCUCCUCAGGUCGAAACACAAGCAGUCAGAUUUGUGCAUCUGAUUCAUCGUAUUGCUCCAAUCUGAGUGAGUCAUACACUCGGUCAGCUCUGUCAAGGAACAGAAGGUUUCAUCCACAUUCAGAUUCUGGAAUAUCAUCCCUGGUAAAUACUUUUCAUUUGCUCUUUACCUAAUGCGAAGUUCAUAAAAUGUACUUUAUCUUGCAUUGAACUUUUAAAAUUUAAACCCAAGUUAGUUAACAUAUAGUGUAAUAAUGGUUUCAGGAGUAGAAUUUAGUGAUUCAUCACUUACAUAUAAUACCCAGUGCUCAUUCAACAAGUGCCCUCCUUAAUGUCCAUCACCCAUUUAGCCCAUCCCCCCCACCCCACACCGCUCCAGCAACCCUCAGUUUGUUCUCUGUAUUCAAGAGUCUCUUAUGGUUUGUCUCCCUGUUCUUAUUUUUACUUCCCUUCCCUUAUGUUCAUCUGUUUGUAUCUUAAAUUCACAUAUGUGUGAAGUCACGUGAUACUUGUCUUUCUCUGACUGACUUAUUUCACUUAGCAUAAUACACCCAAGUUCUAUCCACGUUGUUGCAAAUGGCAAGAUUUCAUUCUUUUUGCUUGCCAAAUAAUAUUCCACUGUGUGUGUGUGUGUGUGUGUGUGUGUGUGUGUGUAUUUAUAUAUACCACUUCUUUAUCCAUUCAUCAGUUGAUGAACAUGUGGUCUCUUUCCAUAUUUUGGCUAUUAUCAAUAGUGCUGCUAUAAACAUCAGAGUGCAUGUGCCCCUUUGAAUCAGCACUCCUAUAUCCUUUGGAUAAAUACCUAGUAGUGUAAUUUCUGGGUCAUAGGGUAGUUAUACUUUUUAAUUUUUUGAGGAACCUCCAUACUGUUUUCCAAAGUGGCUGCACAAGUUUGCAUUCCCACCAGCAGUUCAAAAGUAUUCCUCUUUCUCCGCAUCCUCACCAGCAUGUCAUUGCCUGAGUUGUUAAUUUUAGCCAUUCUGACAGAUGUGAGGUGGUAUCUCAUCGUGGUUUUGAUUUGCAUUUCCUUGAUGAGUGAUGUUAAGCAUCUUUUCACAGGUCCAUUAAUUAGCCUUCUGGAUGUCUUCUUUGGAAAAGUAUUCAUGUCUUCUGCCCAUUUCUUCACUGGAUUAUUUGUUUUUGGGGUGUUGAGUUUGAUAAAUUCCUUAUAGAUUUUGAAUACUAAUCCUUUAUCUGAUAUGUCAUUUGCAAAUAUCUUCUCCCAUUCUGUACAUUGCCUUUUAGUUUUGCUGAUUGUUUUCCUCACCGUGCAGAAACUUUUUAUCUUGAUGAGGUCCUAAUAGUUCAUUUUUGCUUUUGUUUCCCUUUCCUCUGGAGAUGUGUCUAGUAAGAAGUUGCUGUAGCUGAGGUUAGAGGUUGCUGCCUAUGUUCUCCUUUAGGAUUUUGAGGGCUUCCCGUCUUGCAUUUAUGGCUUUUAUCCACUUUGAGUUUAUUUUUGUGUCUGGUGUAAGAAAGUGGUCCAAGUUCACGCUUCUGCAUGUUGCUCUCCAGUUUUCCCAACACCAUAUGCUGAGGAGACUGUCUUUUUUCCAUUGGAUAUUCUUUCCUGUUUUGUCAAAGAUUAGUUGGCCUCUUACAUUGAACAUUUUUAAAUAAGUGUACAAAGUUCUUAAAUCUACCCUUGUAAUUGGGAAGGAAUGAAAUGUUGGCACCCCCAGUCCCAACUCAGAGGGGAAAUGGAAAGAAGCUGGAGUGGGAAGGAAGGCAAACCGGAGAUGAAUAGAAAAGGCAGUGACCACCAAAACAGAAAUGGCAUCCCUUCCUUUCCCCUGCUGAGUUCAAAUUCUGUCUCUGGCCUAAGAUGUAUCUCCUUUCUUUCUGGAAUGUCCUUUGUCCUCAAGAUGAAAUGGUUUCCUGCCAAACUCACCACUUCCAAGACUUUCCCCUCUGCCAUCUCAGUGGAACCGUAUGGGCUUUUCCCUCCUUUCCUUCAUUUAUAAUUGUUUCAUCUAGCCCCUGGAUAAAGAUGGGUUACUCAAAUAUCUGCCUCUCCAAUUAUAGGAAACGAGUUUUUCAAGCACAAAUGCCAUAUUUUAUUUAACUUUAUAUCCCCAGUGCCUGACACACAGCAGGGUACAGUAUAUAUUUUUGAAUAAAUGAGUGAAAUGAAAUGAAGCAAACCAACUUUGGAAAUAUUUAUUGAACCAAUGGAUUAAUCACUUCUUCCAUCAGAAUUAAGAAAGGAACAACAAAAAGGUAAGACACAAGUAUUCACUAUUCCUUUAGGAAGAAGCAAUGGUCACACAACUGCAGCAUAUUGACAACCUCACAUAAACAUAAACAGAGAAAUGUAAUAGCUCAUUUUCCUAUAAUAUCAGAAAUCCCCAAAUCAACCACAGAACUCCUUUAAAAAGGCAAACAGUAUUUUGUACAAAAUUAGAUGUUGGUUGAAAAAUGGAAACUUUCUUCUCAAAUACAGCUUUAACUUAGAUUCUUCUUUUUCCAGUAAGAUCAUCAGGAAAUAGCACAAAAAGGCAAUGGGGUAUGGCAACUCCAGGGAAUUUAACUUCUAAUAUAUUUUUAUUCUGUGAUAGAAGCAAGAAAAAACAAUCCAAAAGCACAUUGGAAAUUGGGAACGAAGCUUCCAUAAACAUGUGAACUCAACAGCCAAGAAUAGUCCAGGGAUCACAUUCCUCAAUAAUCUAAAAUGUUUCUUGGUCUUUUAAAUAAUAUUUCCAAAGAAUGAGUGAAUUCCUUAAAAUCAUAUUAGCAAAUCCUCAGAUUAUCUCAAAGAAUUGCUCAAGCGUUCAUUAGCUUUUUAGCUUUUUGCUAUCAAUAAGGUAGAGAGAUUUUGUUACUCUAUUUUUAAAUGAAGAUAUGGAGGUAUUUACUAGAACAGCCAUGGUCAGUAGUGAGUAAGCAAUGAAGAUAAAAAAAAAAUCAAAGCUAAAUGAUUAUUAAAAAGCCACCUCUUAUCAAUUUCUUCUGAGUCGGCAUGUUCCAAAUUCUGCUUCACAAGAUGCACGAGACCCCCGUGCUGCUUCAAAAAUAAAAGUUUUUAUGGUUUAAAAAGUCCAGGGGAACACUUUGUGAGUAGAGACUCACAGUGUAUAUUAGCAAAUAAUGGCUCUGCAGAGUCCUGUAGCAAAGGGAAAUGCUUCACUUAGUUCAGUCCAGAGCCUCAGAAGCUUAUUCAGUGGUGGAAAUUUUUUUUUUUAUGUUAGUAUUAGUCACACAAAUUUACAGCUCAAGCAAAACAUAAGCUAUGUGCAAUGCUUCUCUGUGAGAUGAAAGUGGUUGUUCCAAAUACUCUAAUGACAUUUCUUUGUAUCAAAUAUUCUGGGUUUGUUUACGUGUACAACACUGGCUAACAGAAGAAUGAAUGUAUGGUGUCUGUAUUUAACAGAACACUCUUUUCCGUGUAAUAUGCCUUUUCAUUUGUGUUAACUUUGAGACUAUCAUAUACCAUAUAAGAUACAGGGAAUUUUGAUUGACUACAACCUCCAUAAUGGUAAACAAUAAAAAAUUGCCCCAAAUAUGAUGUUGGCACAAAGUCUGGUUGGUAAUACACUGUCCAGAACAAGGAAGAUGACCAGACCUACAAUAUUUCUUUCAAUACUGGCUACACAUUUUAAGAACAAUGUCAAUAAAUUAGAACUCUUUCCAAGGAGAAUCAUAUAAUGAUGUGUCAGCUAUGAUCUGUGAGUAAUAACGGUACGACUUAGGAAGAAGAUGACAAUCGUUACGAAACACUUAAAAUAGUAGCCACGUGUGACGUCUAUGGAGCCUCAAAAGGCAGAACUUUGACAAUUGAAGCAAGUUAGAGAGGCUUGGGGUCCCGUAUAAUAACGAGCCGCCAACAAUUAGAACUGUUAUAAAACGGAAAAGGGAAUGAGAUCUCUCAAUCUAAAUAAAUCAGGUAGUUUCAUUUUAUAUUUUUACCAAGCAUUUUAAAUUUGGUACAAUAAACCAAUAUUUGACUAUUCCUUUAUAUCCUAUCAAAUUUUAUAAGUGUACUAGUGUGACUGCAAAGAAUUGUUAUCUGUAGCCCCUAAUAUACAUUCAAUAAAUAUUAAAGAAUGAUUUAUCAGAGGUGCUGUAAAGCGGAUUCAUGAAUGGGUAUACGUAUGUAUCACUAUUGUCAUUUAUCACCAGAUGUAAAUCAGUUGCAGGUGUUGGAGAUGCUAAUCUGUAUAAGAAGACAUAAUUUAAAAUGAACUAAAAUGACUUCUAUAAGGACACCGUCAGGUAUUUGCAGUUCAAUGUGGCUGAAUGUUUGGCGAUGAUCUGUAUUACUUUUACACAUAAAAGUACAUGAAUCGCAUAUGACCAGAUGCUAUUUCUCUUCUUGUUUUAAAGCUUCCAUCAGACUCCUUUAAGUUCCUCACUUGGCACAAGGUAGAACAACAUGACAUUCAAGGAAGUCAGCUGCGUUGCCCAAGAAUAAGAGAAGGUAAAGAACAAAUGUAUUUGUUCUUUGUGUACAUGCUCUGAGUUGAUUGUAUCUGUGGAUUAGAAACAUUACUUGGGGAAACAAAUAUAUUACUUGGAGGUAGACAAAUUUUCUUUAUCAAGACCAAAGAAUUAUUAAUAUAGUUAGUGAAGCCACUUUAAAGCACGGUCACAUAUCUGGUUAUAUAAAUAAUGAAUGUUCAGUGUUAAAUACUAGAAAAAUAGAAAGAUGAAAAUGAGCUUGUAAUUCAAUGAUACACAAAUAACCACUGUGAUUUAUUUUGUUUCUGUUUUGCCUUUUUUUGAAAAAUAUAUUCACAUACUUCUUCACGGAAUUGUACAAAAAAAUUGUAUCUUGAGUUUUUUUGCUUAUCUCGUUAUUGGGAGCAUUUCUUCCAUGUUGUUAAAUAUUACCCAAAACAUGUUUUUUUUUUUUUUUAAUUUUUUUUUUCAACAUUUAUUUAUUUUUGGGACAGAGAGAGAGAGAGCAUGAACGGGGGAGGGGCAGAGAGAGAGGGAGACACAGAAUCGGAAACAGGCUCCAGGCUCUGAGCCAUCAGCCCAGAGCCUGACGCGGGGCUCGAACUCACGGACCGCGAGAUCGUGACCUGGCUGAAGUCGGUCGCUUAGCCGACUGCGCCACCCAGGCGCCCCCCAAAACAUGUUUUUUAAUGGUCAUUUAUCUUUCCAUCACAUGGAUAUUACUAAAUAUAUUUAACCAGUGAUCUUUGUUGGAAUUUUAUUAUUUACAAUAUUUAAUGAUCAUGAAUGACAUUGUCACUUUGAUGAAUCACUUUAACCUGAUUUACUUCUAUCAUUGGUUUUUAAAACAUCAAUUGGGAAUCUAAAUAAACCAGGGAGUUUCAUUUUAUAUUUUCACUAAGCAUGUUAAAUUUGGUAGAAUAAACUAAUGUUAUUCUAUUCCUUCUCAUUCUGUCAGACUUUACAAGUGCACUACUGUGACAGUAUGAAGAAUUGUUAUCUGUAGCCCCUAAUAUACACAAUGUUUAAUUUUUAUAACUUUUUUUUUUAAUUUUUUUAAUGUUUAUUUACUUCUGAGAGAGAGAGACAGACAGACAGAGUGCAAGUGGGGGAAGGGGCAGAGAUAGAGGGAGACACAGAAUCCAAAGCAGGCUCCAGGCUCCGAGCUGUCAGCACAGAGCCCGAAGCCGGGCUCGAACUCACGAAUAGUGAGAUCAUGACCUGAGCUGAAGUCUGACGCUUAACCGACUGCACCACCCAGGAGCCCCAAAUUGUUAUAGCUUUCAAUGGAUUCUAUAUUAUGUAAGAAUAAGCACCAUGCAUUUCUCAUGUCUCUUUUGCAUAUCCCAUAAGCUGAUGAAAUAAUAUUAGACAUAAUUUCGGCUGCAGUGAAUAUUUAGUCAUUACAAAACAUCAAAUAUCUUGGCUAUCUUCCAUCUGUAUUUACAGAUUUGCAGUUAUAUUGUGUACUGUACCAUUGUAAUACUGAUUUAGAAGAAGUUGCUUUAAAUAUAUUCGCCUGCUCGCUUCCCUCUCCCAGUAGCAUCACUUUACCACACAAUGCCUUUCUUCUUUCACUCAAAUUCAGUUGACAAAGACAGACUAAAAUAGCAUCAUUUUCUGAAACUUUGGGUAAAAUAUGUUCUUAUGUUUUAACUCUGUCAGCUUUGUUUGCCGCUAAGCACUGACUCCUAGUUUUAAAAUAUUAGUAGAUAGUACUACUAGAGGUAAACUCAAGCUGCUCUAUGGGGACUGAGAGAGAAUACUUUUCAAAGAGCAAGAAAUUAUGGGGAUUUAGGAAAGUGGGAGGCCAAAGGAAGUAGAGACCGUAUGUGUCACAUGAAUAAGGAGUCCAUCAGUAAAAGGAAGAGAGGUCUUACCAGGGUUCAAAAUGGGCAGCUUCAGCUGGUUCUUAGACUUCAGUGUGUGGACAGUUUACCUGGAGGCCUGUGGAAAAAGCACUUUUCCAGGCCCAACUCUCAACGAAUCUGAUGUGGUUAGCGGGAAGUGGGGCCCAGGAAUCUGCAUUUGUAAACUUAUCAGGAAAUUCUGUUGCAGAUGAUCGGAGGGCCAUACUGUAAAAAUACUAGUUUCGGAAGUCUGGAGGGAAGAAAUUUGAAUAGACAGUGGAAAGACUGAUACAGUAAGGGUGCUGGCAUGUGUGUGUAUAUGUGUGUGUGUGUGUGUGUGUGUGUGUGUGUGUGUGUGUGCUUGUGCUGGUAGUGGUGGUGGUUGAUGAUUGUGCCACAGUGAGGCAAAAAUAAAUUGUACUCUGAGCAUGGAUAGAGAGUUGAGGUUUAGAGAGAACUGAACUGAAGACACUGAGGGAUGACAGGGGAAUCAGAUGUAGGAGUAAACUGACAAUGAGUAUGUGUAAAGAGAGCACGGUGGCCUCUCUCCUUCCCCGGUUUAAGCGCCAGGUCAUGUGCUAAGGUCAUCAGUCAACAAAACUAAUCCCGCAAAGGGACCACAGUGGCCAUUCAUGCAGAGGAAUCAUCGCUCUGCAGAGAUAAGGCACAUUUUCCUUCCAUAGACCAUUAACAACACCCAAUCUCUUGCAAGUGCCUAGUUGUAAAAGGAAUGGAGCAUUAUCUAGGGGAUUGAAAACAUGGGAAAAUCUCAUCACCUCAAACCGUGAAGGAAAUAGAUGUCCCUUGUUCACUGUCCUUAAUUUAGUUCAAGUUUUGUGUGUGCAUAUGUGAGAUAGACAAGUGCUUUUCAAAAGCAUUCUAGUAACAAUUACCCUUCUUCUAGAUUAGAUCCUGAAACACCCAUCCAAACUACUUCAGUUCAUCUCAGUUGCCCCAAUUGUACAUCCGGAAAGAGUUCUUAAGAAAAGAAAGGUUAUCUUGCGUGUGAUAAACAGCAAUUUCCCAAAGCUUUGAUGGCCAGAUCAAGACUGACUUGACUCCUCCCAAUUAAAUGAAGCAAAAGAGCCAACUGUUAGCAGAAUUCUUUCAGAUGUGGAUGCCUUCUAUUUGAAAAUCCCUCAGCAAGUCAAUUCAGUCACUGCUGCUAAGUUACAAAUCCAGUGAGGGGACAAAGUACCAGCUCAGAGAUGGCAGGUAAAAGUCGACAUUCCAACGAUGUCAGAUAUUCCAGACUGUAGUUCUCAACUGCUAAGAUAUAUCUUCAAUUACCAACCAAGUCCGAGUUUAAAAAAGAAAGAAUCCAAUUUAAUAUAAUUCCUCACAGUGGAAGUGACCUUUGGCUUCCAACUUCAAAGAGAUCUUUGAAAGCUGUUUUAAAAAAAAUAAUAAUUGAAAGAACAGAAGAUCAAUAGAACUCAAACAAACAAUAUAGGGCAGAGUUUAAUAAGUCUGGGGAUAUCUCUUGCACAAAGCAAGCUACCAAAUUUCGGGUGGGUGUAUUAAAGAUAAUAGAGCCCAAGUUCUGCCCAAUUAGGUGAUUAUCCAGUUUUUUCCAGUUCUGUGACUUUUAAUUCCAAUCAGCUUAAUCAAUGAGGAAGAAAAUUUAACACAAGGAUAUUUUAUGUGUAAAUUGGUUGGGAUACUUCAGGGUUAUGUGAUUUCCUGGGUGGAAACUGUACAGUUCAUUAUAAGAGAAAUACCAGAAAGGUCAGGUUGCACCUAAUCUUCCACCUGCACCUGAUGAAAGAAGAGAUGUUUGUGUCAAAAUAAUGAAAUAUUGGACUCUUUUAUUGCCUUCAUAAAUCCUUCACAAAUGGACUCAUUAUCUCCCAGCAAAGCCUGGACAAAACUGCCACAAAAGCAAAGUUUGUUCCUGAUGCCUUUAGUCACCUUUUCUUUAGUAUAUCUCUUUCUUUUCACCUGUGAAAUAAGAAUCAUGCAUUCCAGAAAAAUGGCAUGGGGGAAAUGUACACAAAUGAUUCCAGGUAGGAUUCAUAGAAACGUAUUGUGGAGUGGGAGGGAUUUGAAAUCACUGAGCUUAGGAUUGCUGUCAGGGGCCCAGUUAGCAUCAUAAUAGACUGUAGUUUUCCUGGGCAACACGAUAGAGUUAUACUUGCUAAUAAAGAAAUACAUUCUAAUGGAAUUGGAAAUCGGUAUUUUUAUAAAGCAGUAUGAACUUCAAACAAACAUAACUUCUCAUCAUAUUCAUCUCACGUUGGGCCCUUGAUUCUAGUCUUUCCUGUAUUUUUGCUGACAUGGAAAACUGAAGCUCAGAAAAUUAAAAUUAGUCAUCUGGAGAUACACAAUCACCUAGCACCCAACCUCAGACUGGAAACAGGAUAUCCUUUCAUUAACCAUGGAAAUUUUGUGCAAACCUGAUUUGGAGGACAACAGGGUUGGGAAAUAGUGGGAAUGAGUGUGGAAAUGGAGAUUGAGAUAAGAUUGUCAAAAACUUUGGGGCACUUGAGUGACUCAGUCGGUUGUCUGAUUUUGGCUCAGGUCAUGAUCUCCCAGUUUGUGGGUUUGAGCCCUGCAUUGAGCUUUGUGCUGACAGCUCAGAAUCUAGAGCCUGCUUCAGAUUCUGUGUCUCCCUCUCUCUCUGCCCCUCCCCCACUCAUGCUUUGUCUCUCUCUGUCUCUCAAAAAUGAAUAAACAUUAAAAAUUUUUAACUAAAAAAAAAAGAUUGUGGAAAACCUUGCUUGACAAGCCAGGAUUUUCCAUCUCUAAUUGGUAGGCAGUAAGAAAAUUCUGAAAUGUUUUCAACAUGGAAGUGUGGCAAAAAGCUGUGUUUCUAGAAGGCUAGAAAGGUCUAUCAUUUAUAUUGAAGGAGUGAAGAUUUCAAACAAGGAGAUCCACAAGAAAGUAGUUAUUGUUCAGGGAGGAGAUAUGAGGAUCUAGACAUUGAAAAGGAAGGGGACAGAUUCUCCAGCAGAAAGGUUAUAGAACCAAGUGGCUAACUGAGUUGAGAAACAAAAGAGAGGGAAAGUCACGAGUGACUUCAUAUCCCCAAAGAGAAAAUUAUGUGAGACUAAAGUUACUCUACUGGUGAUUUUCUUAUGUGAACAAGAAAUAAUUUAUGUAAGGUUAAAAGUUAGCUCAUUUUUUUUACUGCUCACACUAUUUGGGCAUAUUACAGACGAACUCAUGUUUUCCUCAAUUUUGAUAUCUCGUGAGAGUUUAAAAAAACUGGCCAAAUGUCAAGAGAAGGGUGCCUGGAUGGCUCAGUGGGUUAAGCAUCCGACUCUUGGUUUCAGCUCAGGCUAUGAACUUACAGUUCAUGAGUUUGAGCCCUGCAUCAGGCUCUGCACUAACAGUGAGGAGCCUGCUUGGGAUUCUCUCUCUCUCUCUCUCUCUCUCUCUCUCUCUCUGCCCCUCUCUCUUGCUCUCUCUCUCAAAAAAAAAAAAAACCACAAAAAACAAAAACAAAAAAAUCUCACAAAUAUCAAGUGAAGAUGUCAGUCCUGCUGCCCUAAACCUAUUUCCAAGAUCUCACCUUGUGAUUUUUGCCCAGGACCCUCCACAGAAGAGUUGCUCUUCAGACAGGAGGAGUGUGUCUUACCCGCUCGGAAAAGAGUCCUUGAAAAAAACAAAUGGGAAACAUGGCUACAAGAAAACUGGGAGGACUGCACGGUGAGAGCUUAAAAGACAGAAAAGGGUCUCUUCUCCACAUUGAUUCUGUUAUGACUGCCCCCCCCCAUUUUAAGGGCAAUUGCUAGCAUAAAUAUCAAAACUUUCAGCAUUUCCUCGGAGUUUUCUCUAAAACUAGUGGCGUAUGGGCUUCUCUAUCUCUUUGUUCACCUCUUCUUCAUCAUGACAUGUUACUUAUUUUCUACCCUGUGUCUUAUCCUAAUAUUGCUCAAUUUUGGAGAAGUUUAAAAUACCCCAGAAUGAAAUUGUUCCGUUUGACAAUAAUGAAUAUCAAAGGGCUGGACAACAUUCCUUAUCAGUGAGUUUAUGAUGCCAUCUAGAAUCCCUUGAACAAUGCAUUACGCCAAAAAUUUUCAUCAGCUGGAGCAGCCAGCUUGGUCUGAACACAACUAUCCUGGAACAAACAAAACUUUUGCAGUGAAAAACAGGAGCUGUGAUUUCUUGGUGCUGAAAAUGACCCAACUGAUGGAGCCACUAUCAUUGAAAACAGUGCCUGCAAUGGGCUGUGAUCCUUCAAGCCUCUAAUUCUGGCCUGAUCAAGUCAUCUUGGGCAGUAAACACGUAAAUGGGAAGGCUGUGUUGGUAGCAAUGAAAGGGCAAAUCAAUGUCUCAACAGAGCGGGAUGCCAAUAUUUUUGUUUCUUAGAGUGACCAAAUUGUAUGUGAAGAAUUUAGGAAGCCUUCCAGAAAUAAGGCUGAGUUUAAAAGCUGCUCAGUGGGGCCUCUUGAUGGCCUCUUUUGUUUCACAGAUUGGCCAUUUAUGUUUUAGAAUUAUGGAAUUAGGAGGUGGGAAGGAGCUUUGGAGAGGGUCUGGUCUAAACCCUUUCCUUUCAAAAAGGAGAGGGACGUUCAGAAAGAGAAUUGAUUUGCCAAAAGUUACAUAUCUUGGUAGUGGAAGAUAUAAAAAUAGAAUAUUGUUUCCCCACACAGUGCUUUCUUUUCUUUUCAAAAGUAAAGUUUUCAUAUAUAAUGGAUGGAUACAUUCUACUCUUAAAAAUUGACACCAUAGGCCUAUUUAUUUAAAAAUUUAACUAAUACACCUGAAACUUUGACCUCCACUCCCAGAACUAUCUUUAGAGGUAAUCAUUUCAGUGUAUAUAUCCAUUUAUUCUUUAUAGCUGCCAUUUAAACCAUGGAUAUACUGCAAAGGCCAAUGGAGACUUCAUCAUAAAUUAUCAUAGAAAAUUUAAUUGGCCUUGAGAUAACUGUAGUCUAGGAGAAUGGCUAAAGAAACUCUAACUAACAUAGAAAACUUAAUUGAGACAUAGUGGUCCAAAAAAUGCCUCUCUGAGGUGGUGGCAUUCAAUAUAAAAUGAUAGAUAUAAUCUUUUAUCAUUUCUUAAGUUUUAUGUUAGAAUUAAGAUGUUUUAUACUUUUGGAAAAUGGAACUUAAAGUGUCAAAGUUUAUAAUGUUUAAUGCCUAAAAAUAUCAAGACUUUAAUGAUCUUUUUAAAGAUAGAGAUACCUAUAUUUCUUUAAAAUAUUAAAUCAUUCUGCUUCAUUUUUUUUAAAAAGGGAUGGCCAUUUGAUUCAAUAAUUUUAUUGACAGAACUUGAUGGUAAAAUUGCGGAAACAAAAAAGUUAAGUUGACUUUUAGGAAUAGAGUUUACAAGAGCAAUGCUCUUGUAAAACCACCAAAAGUGGUUUUAAUUUUCUUUAAAUUGAAGUUGACUGCUGUUAAAAGCAAACAUAAAGUAUCCACUAUCUGUGAAAUACGCUAAGUCAUCGUUAGGUAUGUAUUCCUAACUACUUUAAAAGAAAAUCAUAGCUUUCAUCUUUUGAAUGAUGGUAGUUUACUUUGAAAUCUUUUUAAAUGUGAUUUCUGAGUGUUUCCAAGGAGGCUAAAUGGUAACUCAUCCUUCAAAUCAGUAAUUCCAAGAUAGAAUGUCAUCCUUUCCUCCCUUAACCCCUAGAGAAUUUCAAACUCAGUUUCAGGAUCCUGCCUUCCCCGCCUCCAACCUUGUAUGUAAUUCUAAUCAGGAUUAGGUCAGGAUCUUUACCUCCCCCAUCUUGAGAAUGAAUCUCUGCAAGGUAAUUGUGAGUGUUUGGAUGUGUGAGUGUUUUAGAGGACACACACAAAAAAGGUGAAAACUACUGGUUUAAAUAAUAUAUUUAACACAUAUUUAAAUAACAUAGUUAAAUAACAUAUUUAAACACAUUUUUAAUGAAGAACUAUUUUUAAAAGUUGACAAAGAACUUGCCUUUUCUUUUUAUUUAUUUUUCCCUUCAGAAUUUGAACCUUUCAUUUCAGGAUUUGGGGGACCCUUAUCAAGUUGCAAAUUUUAACAGGAUUCUUAGAAGACUAAUUCGAGUCGAAACCCUCUGGUUAGUGGAUAAUUCACUGGUGGACUUAAGUGCCAUAAGACUGCCAAGGUACUUGCUUUUUAGAAUGUCUAGUUACUAAGUUAGAGUCAAAUCUUUGCUAUGUGGGCAUAUGUGACGAUUGUCUGCACAUACCGUGGCCAUAUGGUCAGGUCUUAAAGGUGAUAGUGCUAAAUGAUGCCUGGACAAGGCAAAAAGGGAAACUUAUAUGUCAAAAUGUCACACUUUAGAGGACAAAAUCUAUUCUUUUCUAAAUUAGUAUUAGCAGCAAUUUUUAGGGGAGGAAUUUGCAAUCGUAGAAUCAUAUUGGCAGAAAAGUUUGCCAUAAUCCUUAUAUUGUACACUGGAAAUGCAAUUAUAUUAUAUAAAUACUGUUGUUGUAAGAUAGAGAUUUUUAGUCAGUCAUAUUUGUUGAGCACCUAUGAGGAAAGACUCUACAGAUAGUUGGCAAGAAUCUUGGCUUCAAGGUCACAUUCUAAUGGAAGGGUGAGAAUAGAGACAGAAACAAACUAAAAGUUUUUACAAAUAUGCAGACUCUUUGGUCUUCCAAGGAUCCCAAACUCCUGAUGUUAAAAGAUAAUCUGCCUUUUUGCUCAGGAUUGUAGAGAGCCUCUGUCAGCUUCACCAGGCACAAAGAUAGGUGCUGUGAGCUUUGACAGCAAUCCAAGGAACAGACAGAGGUCUUCAGGAGAGAAGUAGAAGAUGAAGGAAAUCAGGCAGCCACAAGAGGGAAGGGUAAGUCCUAGAGGAGGUCAAGAUACAUCCCUCAGCAUAGAUUGAGACAGGGCAACAAAAAGACCAUCACAGCCACAAAGGAGAGGGAAACAGUUGGAGACGGAAGAAGGGUCAGAAUAUUCAGUGUGCCUGGGUUAUCUUCAAUCAUGUUUAACACCCCUUGGAAACUUUAGGCAGAUUUGCCUAGCAUUUGAUUUUACCUAUGUUGUUUUUAACAAAUUGUAAAAUAUCUAAGUAAAAAUUCUCAAAAGAAACUUAAUAUCACUACUAUAAAUAAAAACUCAAUGGCAGUUGAUAUUGAUUCAUUCAGGUUUUGAGGUUUUGAGGGGUUUUUUGUUGUUGUUGUUUUUGUUUUUGCCAGACUUUCUUCUAGGGAUAUAAUAGUGAUACAUUAGCUAUAUUUUUUUAAAUACACAUACAACGAAAAAACUUUUUAAUAAUCACAUGGCAUGCUCUAGAAAUACUGAACUAAAAGAUGCUUGGAGUAUCUGAACUUUACUUGAUCCGGAUCAAUAAACUUCCAAAUCUUUGCUAUCUUACGUAAAAAAAGAGAAAGAGAAACCACAAUCACUAAAGAAAAGACUUAACCUAACUUUAGUGUUCUCUAGAUGUAUUCUUUUGGCUUUUCUUUCAUUAGAAAUAGGAUAUAUAAUAUAAAAUUAUGUAAUUGCAAUUCAAAUUUUACAACUGCCAAAUCAACAUGUCAAAAAAAGGAGAAAAAAGUUGAUGCGUGUAUAUUCAUAGCCUCCUUCCUUCUGCCCCAGGGAAAACACCACACUCGGUUUGUUGCUCUGCUUGCCUAACAUCCUGCUAACUGGGGAUCUGUGACGGGGUGAAUCUGAGAGCCUGGGAGGGAUGGAUGGAUGUUGAAAAUGAGAUACCAGUAGUUCAUUUUUGCUUUUAUUACCCUUGCCUCGGGUGACAUGUCUAGUAAGAAGUUGCUGCAGCCGAGGUCAAAGAGGUUGCUGCCUGUUUUCUCCUCCAGGAUUUUGAUGGUUUCCUGACUCAUGUUUAGGUGUUUCAUCCAUUUUGAAUUUAUUUUUGUGUGUGGUGAAGGGCAUUAAGGAGGGCACUUGUUGGGAUGAGCCCUGGGUGUUAUAUGUAAGUGACGAAUCAAUGGGUUCUACUCCUGACACCAAUUCUACACUGUAUGUUAACUAGUUUGAAUUUCAAUAAAUAACUUUUUAAAAAAUAAAAUAAAAUGAGAGAAUGGCAGCUAAGAAAAGAAAACACUUCAUGGACAGAGAGAGGGGCAGAGAGACAGGAACUGCUUGGGCUGGGUUUUCAAUUACAAAUUGUCAUAGUACUGAAGUGCUUCUAAAGAUUCUGUGUAACCUGGAAAAGAGUAAAAACCCCAAAUUAUCAAAUGUAUGAUUAGGAUGGUGUGAAAUAUCCAUAUGGAGGUGGAGUGGAAGGAAGAAAGGAAAUGAAAAGAAUAGAUGUGGAAAAAAAUUACAAUGAGAUCUGGGGGGGGGGGGGUUCAAACUGAAUUUUUCUAAUACCAUUGUGUAGAAGCACUCUGUUUAGCACCAUCUUUUUUUUUUAAUUUUUUUUAAUGUUUAUUUAUUUUUGAGACAGAGAGAGACAGAGCAUGAAUGGGGGAGGGGCAGAGAGAGAGAGGGAGACACAGAAUCGGAAGCAGGCUCCAGGCUCUGAGCCAUCAGCCCAGAGCCCGACGCGGGGCUCGAACUCACGAACCGCGAGAUCGUGACCUGAGCUGAAGUCGGAUGCUCAACCGACUGAGCCACCCAGGCGCCCCCGUUUAGCACCAUCUUUAACAUUAGCAAUAAUUAUUUACUAAGUGUCCUUAUGGAGUCCAGGGCCCAUAAGUAAGUUCCCUGUGCUUUUCUCAUGGUAUUAAAUUCCAGCGUGUACAUAAAGGAAUUUUUCCUCAAGGCAAGAUGUCAGUGACAGAUUUGGAAUCAUUUCCUCUAUUUGCACGGUCAUACACAAUUAAGGCAAAAAUACUGAGAAACAUCAUAUGUCAGGAAAAUACAUUCACCUUAAAUGCCUAACACACAUUUCUUCUCCUAAGGCUAACUUUUAUUCUUUUUUUAUAUAAAAGACUUUUUUUUCCGGACUUACAAUGCUAUUUUUUUCCAAUAUAGCAUUUAAGUUUUCAUUUUCAUAUAGCAUUCAAUAUAGCAUCCUGUCAGCUAAGAAAAAAAACAACUAUAAUCUCAGUACUUGGAGGCAAUACUCUUCACAAGUUAUUAUGUGUCUGUGUACUACUAUAUCACUGAGAUUAUAUGCAGCCAUUCACUCUUUCGUUUGGCACAUAUCGUGAAUCCACCAUGGACCAAAUGUUAUGCCAAGUGCUAAGUGUAUACAUUGGAAAAGAAAACAGAUUCCUGCACUCAGCAAACUUACAGUCUCAUAUAUUCUGCUUAUUUCCUCUGAAUAUUUUAGUAUAAAUCUUUCUCUUCUUUUACAAACCAAACUUGUAGAAAAUGUCAUUGUCACUCCUUUGAGGGGUUAUGGUCGAGAUUUGGUAGUUAACCAUUCUCUUUGGGAGACAAAUGACAAGUGUUUAUAUUUUUUUAUCCAGAUGCAGAGUUUUAAAUAUGAACAAAAACCAUCUCACAUCUUUUAAACAAUUGCCAAAGAUACCCCAGAUACAGCAUUUAUCUUUGGCUGAAAACCAUAUUGAGUCUCUGACUGGGCUCUCCAGUUUACAGUGCACCCCACUAGAAUCCCUCAUGCUCAAGAGGAACCCUUGUGAGUUUCACCAAAAUUACCGGAAACGGUAAGGCCCCUAACACCUUUGUCAUCUGUGUUCUUUAUUGAAUGUUACACUUUAACAGUUGUUCCCCUCUAGCUUAAAUUCCCUUGGCAAAUAUUUAUCAUAUCUACUAAGAGUUGAAUGUUUCAUGCUUCUGAGCUCAACUAAAGAACUUUAAGCUGAUCUUUAAAAAAAGAAUCUUUAAUACACUCUUCUCUGAGUUAAUUUAUGAUUGCUUUAAAAGUUUAGGCUUCUCUUGUAAUGUGACUUUACAUAUACAAAGAUGCUUCAUUUUAGACUUUCAAAUCCUAUGCAUUUUCUCUCUAAUGUUUAAAAGAUAUUAUGUCUUUAAAAAAAUUUCUAUAUGUAGAAUCCUAUUGAGGUCCAUGUGAUAAUUUUAUAAAUUGUUUAUUCUCCGGUUUUAUUUUCACUCCUUUGGACCACAAGGGCACCAUUAAGUGAAUACAAAGAAAUAAUUGAUUCAAUCUACCCUAGUGGUUGAAAGUCCUUGAAAACCUGUGAAGAAUAAACCAUUUAAUUUCUUUGUCACUACUGGGACAUUCCUAAUGAUAAUGAUGCAAUCUACACCUUGGAGUGUGCAGGAAAUUCUAUGCCCACUGAUUUCUCCCUAGCUAAUUCCCAGCACCACUUGUGGGAACUUAAAAUAAUAAGCGACUGAGUUCUAGAAACUGUAUUUGCCCCCAAAUGACAAAUCAACUCAUGUCUUAGUUUGAAUCUAUCAUACAAAGCAUUAGAUCAUCUCUAUGUGCCAUACCUGGUCUAUGACUACUUCCUUCAUCUACAUUCAACUUCAAUAAAAGACAUAGUUCUUUCUCACUACCUUCCUUUCUGAAGCUGCCAUUUUCCCAUGACAACAACAGUAUUCCAGAGGCCUACCUAAUAUUAGACUCCUCAACCCCUGAUGUACAACAAAAGAUUGUCAAAAUAAAAAUUGUAAUCUCUGUUGUUCCUACAUAAAUCUCAUUACUGCCGUUGUCUCCCCCAUGACUAUAAACCGAAGGCAAAAUUCAUGUUCUGUGAUAAUAAAUUCUCAAAUUGCUUUUACGUAAGUGAAAACUAGCAGAACAUUUGCUUUACAACUGAACUAACAUUUAACCAUAAUCACAUUUUGAAGUUUAAAAUUAUAUUUGCAACAGUCAGAGGAGGGUUAGCUGGACAUUUCAACACCAUUCCAAAAAAGGCACAUUUCUAGUCAUAAAGAAAAUUAGCAUUACCUUUUAGUUUUGUUAAUUUAUAUGUGGGGUUUUACCUUGAUCCCAUGUCAGUGAUUUGCCUCCCUUCAAAGGAUGCCUUACAACAAUAGAAUUAAGAUUCACUGUCUGAAAUCUGAUAUGCCCUGAGGUCUCACUAUGAAUCUGUCUUCACUAUGAUGUGGUAUAGAGUUAUGUGAGAAUGAGGGAUAUAAUGAGGCUCUUCUAUUUUCUAACAUUAACUCCAUUGGACUGAGUCCAAGGUGGAUAUAGACUGGCGUUCAAGCUAUAAAAAGUCAGGUUGUAUUGACUUGGGUAGUACAGGGUUACUUUAAACAGAAAGAUACAGACAUUUUAAGCAUGAGGAAAGGACUUAAGUAUCCACUUCUGCUAAGAAACUAAACUGAAGUCCCAAGUUCAUCCAAAUUUGGGCUAUAACCUGGUCCUGAAUUCACACUUUUAGGAUCGUAACAGCAUUCAUUUUGUUUCUGGGUAUCUCUACGUCAAGAUUUGCACCAGACUUUCAGUGACCCUUUACAACAGGAUCAGAAUGAUUUACGUGUAAGAUUUUCUUGAUCAUUGUCACCUAGAUUGUGACUAUGUUCCCCUUCCUUUGUUUCAGAUCCUUCAAAAAGAAGAGAGCACAGUUCAAAAGAGAAAAAACUUACUGAUAAAGCUCAUAGUGUAAGUCCCAGUAGGUAGAAGCUAGCCCCAUUUCCUGGGACACCCAUAGGCAAACUCUUCUACUGUUCUUCAGAAGAAAAUGUGAUCUUAGUUCACCAUAGUUUGACGUUUUGAAAGGAAGUAGUGGUUAGGGUUUCCUGUCAGCUAAGUCUAAACAUUAGGGCCAGAAGACUUAGAUUUUUAUCUUUGCUUUGUCACCUACAGGCUUUAUGAUCUUGGAUAAGUGAUUUAAAAUGGGGGAUAAAAACCAACCUAACAGAACUGGUGUGAGGAAUAAAUAUGAUAAUGUGCAGGAAGCAUUUAGUGCUAAGCAAAUCAUGAAGCCAAUGACAGCAUUCCAAGGAGGUCAACACCACCCUUAGCUGACAUGGCACGUCAGUGUCUUUCAUCCCGGGCGAAUCCCAGGGACACAGAAUUCCCAGAUCUAGAAAAGCUGUCCACUUGAAAGGAAACACUACUUUCUCAUACUGCUAGGUAUUUGACUACUGUGUAACAAGGCUGACGUGCAGGCCCCCUCCUGAACCUGGAAGGGGUACGUGACACCUUCCUGAACCUGGAAGGUAUAAAUUUAAAAUGUGAGCUUCAAAAAUGCUAUCAUGAGAAAAUCAUGCAGCACAAGGUUAUUCUCGACCUCCUCAUCUUCUUAUAACUCACAGUGAGAAUUCUUCCUUAAUUAGCAGUAAACAAUAUGUGCUUUCUUUACUUUUUCCAUUUUUAAAAACUUUUAACUUCAUGAUGUGUACAUGUCUCAUUAUCUCAUUCUUUCUCUCAUGGUUAGUUGGCUAAAUUCUCUCAUUUUUUUUUUCUUUAUAGGGUUUUGUAGAAACUGGACUGAAAUUCUCUUAUAAAAACAGACUGUAGGCAGUCCUACUUCUCUGAUCUAUAUUUAUAAUAGGCAGAACCAUACAGUAGCUCCUGAGAGGGCAAGCUACAGCAGGGUGAUCAGUUCAAUGCACAUAAAUAGUAUUUUAUUAGAACCCUAUUGCAUAGAUUAAAAACAAAACAAAACAAAAUAAAAUGAUAGCCACUCAACUUUCUUGUAACAAUAGGCAAAGUGCACUUAUUUAUAAAGACAGUAAGUAAAAUACAAUGCUUUUGUUCAAUACGGUUACUUUUUCUUUUUUUUUCACGUCUGCUUUAGAGUGUUCUCCUGUUUGCCAAACUUAAAAACGCUGGAUGGAAUCCUGAAGCUACCAGAAGAUUCUUCACCACCAGAAACCAAUAUUUUUUCACAACUCUGUGUUAUAUCCUAAUGCAAUCUGUAUGGAAAGAAAUCACCAUUGUCUCUAAAAGCUGAUAAAUAUAGGAGACGCAUAACUAAAUAUUGUUGUUUACUAUGUAUAUAAUAUAUUUAUAUAUUGUUUUCUUUUAAACGGGUGACCUCCAGGUUUUUUUAAUUCUAUACCCCAUCAGUAAAUAAAUUUUGAGCAUACAUAUAUAAUUAAUUUUUAUUUAGAAAUCUUAUACAUAAAAUACUAGAGAAAUAUAUUAUGUAUAUUUUAAACAUUGAAAAGAGAGAUUGUUAAGUGAUGGAAUAAAAACAACAUGAAUAAGGGCCCUAAGGUUUCCUACAUACUCCAGGGACUCAUCCAUCCAGCGUCGGGGCUGAGUCUCUUACUGUGACAGCACUGCUUUAAAAAACCUGACCUAUCAAAAGGAAGAGGGGCAACUUGUGGUUUUAAGCCACGUGCAUUGGAUUUUUCAUUUUAAACAUUGUCAUUCAUUAGUGGCUUCGAUAUAACAGAAAUUUAGGAAGGUCCCAGGCCAUUCAUUAGAUAUUUAGAAAAUAAACAAUAAUGGUGAAGUUUCUUUUUGUUCAGAGAAUUUCAUAAAUGGGAUUUUAAAACUGUCUUCCCUAUACACUAGAGAGAAGGAAUACAAUUCAAUUUAGUUGCUUUCAAAAUGUAGAGAAAAGUCAACAACUAGACCAACUUAUGACCUUACAGUUUUCCUUAUUUAUAAAGAUCAACUUAGCUGCAGAACUAAAACUUUCCCGAGACAGUUCAUGAAUUAGAUGCUUCCCAGCAUGAAAUAAGGAAAAUAUUUUCUAGACCAUCCUGCCAUGAGUGAAUGCUGCCUAUCAAGUUAUAUAGAAAGACUCUGACAAGACAAAGGUACAGUCCCUUCUCUCAAGAAUCUUAUGGAUGUCUGAAGUAGACCAAACAUACCUAACACCUAAAAUACAAUGAAAUAUGUUACAAAUACUGUGGGAGGAGGAGAUAAUAAUUUUCAAUUUUGUGAAGCCAAAAAAAAAUUGUGGGAAGCCACUUUGAGGACUUUAUAGAGAAAAGAUGAUUUGAGAUGGAUGUUAAAGAUCCACAGAUGGCAAAUAGUAGCAGAUGGUCCCAGUCAGGAAGCACUGCAUGAAAAGGGGCCCAGAGACCAGAAAGUGUGUGUUAGGAAUGGGCCUGGCUGCAAAAGUCAAUUCAGAUUGACAAUGGCUUAAAAAGAGUUAACAGUAGGAGCAUCAGGGUGGCACAUCUGGUUAAGGGUUGGACUCUUUGUUUAGGCUCAGUUCAUGAUCUCACGGUUGAUGAGAUCGAGCCCUGCAUUGGGCUCCACUGUGGAGCCUGCUUGGGAUUCUGUCUCUCCCUCUCCUUCUGCCCCUCCCCUGCUCUCUCUCUCUCUCUCACUGUGUGUGUCUCUCUUUCUCUCUCUCAAAAUAAGCAAACUUUUAAAAGAUUUUUUAAAAAGAGUAAUAGAAAUAAUAAUAGCUACAAUUAUUGAGCACGUGCUGUGUAUCAGGCACAAGACAGACAUUGUACAUCCAUUAUUUAAAUCCUCAGAAAACUAUGAGGUUCCAACUAUUCUCAUCAUAAGUAGGGAUAUCUGAGGCUCAGAGAGGUUAAAUUGUUUGGUUAGGGUCACCCAAGGUAGGUCACACAACUAUUCCAUGGCAAAGGCAAGAUUCAAAGCCUUUCAACACCCUUGCUGUAUCUUCUAAUAAUAUAGUUCUAAUUUUAAAAUUCCAGAUGGUAUUUUGUGUUUCCAGGGACAGCAUCAUCUCCCAUAAUCCAUCACAAAUACCUGCAUUUAAUCAUAAACAAGUAUUCACCAUUCCUUGAACAUACCUUAAAUUUUCCUUGUUCAAAUCUUUCCUACUGUCUGCAAUAUUUUUCACUGGAAGGUACCCUUAAGAAAACCCUUUUUUUCAAGGCUUAUUCCAAAUACAAUUUCCUCCAAAAGUCUUCCCUUAUCUUUUCAAUCAGAUGUUUCCUCUGCAGUUCCAAAGUGCUUAAAAAAAAUACUGGUCUUCAGGCACAUUUUCUUAAUAAUGCCUCCACUUGAUUUUUAUUUAAAUGUAUACUUUGCUUGCUUCCCAUAAAAGGACUGUAAUCCUGAAAUAAGAGAGUGGAUACAUUGCAUUUUAGAUAUUUAUGCAUGUAUCCUUCUGCUUUUCUAAAUCAGGGUAGGAAAACAUCUUCUGUAAAGAACUAGAGAAUAAAUAUUUCAGUUGACCAUAUGGUCUGUCUUAACCACUCGAUUCUGCCAUUGUAGUGCAAACGCAGCCAUUGACCAUAUGUAAAUGAAUGGGUGUGGUUGUGUCCUAGUGAAGCUUUAUUUACCAAACCCGUGGUAGUCUGUAGUUUGCUGACUCCUGCUUUAAAUGGUAAAGUCAUGUGAUUGAUUGCUUUACUCUUAAACAAUAUCCAUUGUCUUGUUGGCCUAGAAGAGGUGUAUAUUUCCCUACUCCUUGAAGUCAGAUGUGUUAAACCACUUGAUUUGGCCAAUGAAAUAUAAGAGGGUAUGAUAUAGGUCACUCGCAGGCAGAAAUUUUGAGAACCAGUUUGUGCUUUCUCACACUUUGAUUUUUUAUGCCAUACCAGCAGACAAAUUUCCAUAUAGAGGCUGCUCCACUGUGAAUAUGAUCUGGCACAGAGUGACAGUCAUCCUACGGGGAUGUAUACAGCAAGAUAGUAGACCUAUGUUAUCAACCUCUGUGGUUCCAUUUGAUGCUAUACCAUAGCCUAGACUUUCCCAAUAAACACAGCUCCUUCAAUUUAAGGACAGCAAUUUAAAUUAUUCAAUGAUGUGCUUUACCUCCAAUGUAGUAUAGUAGGUACUCAAACGUUGAAUGAAUGAAUAAAUGUCUAUUAUAGGAAAACAUGAAUGGGGCGGUAGAAUGACCAGGUAGGACACAACUGUAAUAGUUUAGGUGAAAUGUAUUAAAAACUUGGAUUCGGGCAACAGUAGUGAGAACAGUUACCAAAAAAUGAGGGCAUGAACAAUUGACGAUGAUAGCCACCAAAUUGUUUUAUUGCUUAAGCUGAUUUGAUUACCUAGGCAAGAAUAUUCUAGCUGGCAAAGAAAAUCAUGGGUUUCAGGGCACCUGGGUGGCUCAGUUGGUUAAGCCCGACUUUGGUUCAAGUCAUGAUUUCUUGGUUUGAGAGUUCGAGCCCUGCGUGAGGCCCUGUGCUGACAGCUUAGAGCCUGGAGCCUGCUUCAGAUUCUGUGUGUCCCUCUCUCUCCGCCCCUCCCUUACCUCCCUCCCUCUCUCUCUCUCUCUGCCUCUCUCUUACUCUCUCUUUCAAAAAUAAAUAAACAUUAAAAAAUUUUUUUUAAAGAAAAUCAUGGGUUUCAUAUGUGGACGUUAAGAGGUCCUAGGUGCUGGGUAGCUAUGAGGAAGAAUGGGUACACUCACUGGUAGGUAAGGGUCUCAAAGGUAGACAUCACAUUAUUCCCAAGAGAUAGCCUAUGUUGGGUUGCAAUCUGAUAUUCUGGUCUUAAGAGGCAUACAGGUUUUAAGGGUAGUGUCACCAGAGAGGGUUGACGAAAGUUAGUGAUGCCUACCUACCUACGCCAGAGGGGAAUUGAUUGGAGGGAAGUCAAUAAACUGAAUAACAUUAAACCUAAAAUUGAGUUUAUCACUCAUUGUAUGGUAGCAUCUUUAGUAGCCAUCAUCGUGGCAUGUCCAACAAUGGUGUUGCUAUUAUUUCAAAUAAAUCUGCUCACUUGACCUGUGUAAUACUUCCCUGCAUCUUCUAUAAUAUCUAGAGAUCUGAGUUAUUUCUCCCAUGGCCUAAGCAGACAUAUGGUCUUGGGAAAUACUGUGUUGGGAAUAUACAGGGAUUUUUUAAAUCAGCAAUAAAGUUCUAUUUGUGGGAAUUUUGUGCAUAGGCAGAAAAGAUGGCUGACUUCUAACCAUAUUCUAUUUAACUAAACAGGAUCACAUCAAGUUCCCGUUCUAAAACUUCAGAUACACCCAUCUUUCUGAAACAGUCGGUUCUCCUCCAAUCCACUGGAGGCAACAGGCAUAAAAGGAAUGACCUAAUGCCACUUAACAUCUUACAUCUAAUUUUGUGUCUCAAUUUCAUUCUUUUCCUAAAUGGCAUGUGUGUGCAGUUCAUGAUUAUCUGCAUGGCUCAGUUCAAAACAGUGGCAGGGAUUCAAUUGUGCAGCUAGGACAGCUUUCUGACAACAGGCAUGAUGCAGGAAACUCCUUUGUUAAGAAAAUAAUUUCAAUGAGGGAAGUUCAUGCAGUGCAUGACAAAGUCUUAUGCGUCGGCUAGCCCACCUCCUCACCAGCACUCAGUGAAUGCUCGUAUCAACCCUACAACAUCCAGGAAAGGAUUUUCCAGUCCACAUUUGAUAAAAUUGAGGAAUUAUAAACAUUU